rnacentral:misc_RNA from 1 species
GGAAGGAUCAUUGAAUCUAUCAAUACACACACACCGCGAACCAAUGCCGUUGGUCCGGUGGGCCGGACUUCACUGACCGGCCUGCUGCGGCCCGGGCUGUGCACUCGUGUGCGGCCUGGGCCGGGUUCCCUCCUGUUUGGCGGGGGAGCACACCAUCACACCCUGUGUGUGUGUGUGUGCUCCUCCAUCACUCGUUGGGCGCUGGCCCCCACCCCACAACCUUCAACAACACCCAACAAACCACUAUCACAACUAACACCAUGCGUGUGGCCUGGCCACCGCAUCACAACUGAGACAACUCUCAACAACGGAUAUCUUGGCUCUCGCAACGAUGAAGAACGCAGCGAAAUGCGAUACGUAGUGUGAAUUGCAGAAUUCCGUGAAUCAUCGAAUCUUUGAACGCAUAUUGCGCUCGAGGCCUCGGCUAAGAGCAUGUCUGCCUCAGCGUCGGGUUAAUAUCACACCCCCAUCACACAUCACUGUGUGCAUGGGCUGUGGACAUGGCUGUUCCAGUUCGGGAGUGCGUGGCUCUGCCUAGCAGAAUCCGUCACGCACGUACACACCCUGGAUCGGCUGAAGCUUAGAAGCGCACGCAUAUCAGGACCCGCUUGCGGGCCACACUUGGGUAGGCGCACCACCGGUUCUUGACCGGUUCUGCAUCAAUGCACAAGCGUUGGCCUGGGCCCUGUCACAAUGUGCAUCAUGUCGCUCCCCCAGGAAUGUAACCAUACAUUAACCAUCUAUUACCUCGACCUGAGCUCAGGCAAGAACACCCGCUGAACUUAAGCAUAUCAAUAAGCGGAGGAAAAGAAACUAACCAGGAUUCCCCUAGUAACGGCGAGUGAACCGGGAUUAGCCCAACUUGAAAAUCUCCCUUUGGAGAAUUGUAGUCUAUAGAAGCGCCCUCUGUGGUUGCCUGGGCCCAAGUCCGCUGGAAAGCGGCGUCGUAGAGGGUGAGAACCCCGUCGGCCCAGUGCUGUACCGCUUCACGAGGUGCUUUCCACGAGUCGGGUUGUUUGGGAAUGCAGCCCAAAAUGGGAGGUAAAUCCCUUCUAAGGCUAAAUACUGGCGAGAGACCGAUAGCGAACAAGUACCGUGAGGGAAAGAUGAAAAGAACUUUGAAAAGAGAGUUAAAAAGUGCUUGAAAUUGUUGAGAGGGAAGCGAUUGGAAGGUGUGGGUGCGCCCAGGCUGACGUUGCUCUUGCGAGCGGCUGUAUGUGCUGGGUGCUGGUCAGCAUGGGUUGGUCGGGCGGGAUAAUCGCGGGGGUUGAUACCCUGUCUAUGCCGCCUGGUCGACCAAGGCGUGAACGGCGCUCUGUCCUCCUUCUUGGGGAGCUGCGCCGUCAAGAUGCUGGCGGAAGCCUUUCAAUCGGCCCGUCUUGAAACACGGACCAAGGAGUCUAACAUGUAUGCGAGUUGGUGGGUGUUAACCCCAUGAAGCGCAAGUAACCUGACUGGUGGGAUGGCCUGUGCCUGCACCAUCGACCGACCCUGAUCUUCUGUGAAAGGUUUGAGUGCGAGCAUACCUGUUGGGACCCGAAAGAUGGUGAACUAUGCCUGAGCAGGGUGAAGCCAGAGGAAACUCUGGUGGAGGCUCGUAGAUGUGCUGACGUGCAAAUCGCUUUUCGGACUUGGGUAUAGGGGCGAAAGACUAAUCGAACCAUCUAGUAGCUGGUUCCCUC